UUUCAGUCCUCAAGAAUCAGCUCUGAGUCAAACUGCUGAGCACCAGCUGAAAAACACAAAAAUAAGAGUGAAGAAGGUGCCGGUUAGAAAGAUGAUAACAUUUGAAAUCAAAUAAUUAAAUAGUGUGUUGAUUAUAGAUGUGAGAACAAACAGAAACUGUACGGUUCCACUUGUACACUCCCAGCUAAAUUAAUAAGGACACGCUAAUGAGUAUUCAUGAAUUAUUUAUCCUAUUGUUAGUUGGCAUACAUAAUCAUAUUUACCUAUCAAGCUGCAGCAUAGGCACAAAACAAUACAGUUAAUUUUCAAUAAACACAGUUUAGAUAAAAGUAAUAUCACCAAACUUACUGCA